AUUGAACGCUGGCGGCAGGCCUAACACAUGCAAGUCGAGCGGCAGCGGGAAAGUAGCUUGCUACUUUUGCCGGCGAGCGGCGGACGGGUGAGUAAUGCCUGGGGAUCUGCCCAGUCGAGGGGGAUAACUACUGGAAACGGUAGCUAAUACCGCAUACGCCCUACGGGGGAAAGCAGGGGACCUUCGGGCCUUGCGCGAUUGGAUGAACCCAGGUGGGAUUAGCUAGUUGGUGAGGUAAUGACUCACCAAGGCGACGAUCCCUAGCUGGUCUGAGAGGAUGAUCAGCCACACUGGAACUGAGACACGGUCCAGACUCCUACGGGAGGCAGCAGUGGGGAAUAUUGCACAAUGGGGGAAACCCUGAUGCAGCCAUGCCGCGUGUGUGAAGAAGGCCUUCGGGUUGUAAAGCACUUUCAGCGAGGAGGAAGGGUUGGUAGCUAAUAACUGCCAGCUGUGACGUUACUCGCAGAAGAAGCACCGGCUAACUCCGUGCCAGCCGCCGCGGUAAAAC
rnacentral:rRNA from 1 species